rnacentral:rRNA from 1 species
AUUGAACGCUGGCGGCAGGCCUAACACAUGCAAGUCGGACGGUAGCACAGAGAGCUUGCUCUUGGGUGACGAGUGGCGGACGGGUGAGUAAUGUCUGGGGAUCUGCCCGAUAGAGGGGGAUAACCACUGGAAACGGUGGCUAAUACCGCAUAACGUCGCAAGACCAAAGAGGGGGACCUUCGGGCCUCUCACUAUCGGAUGAACCCAGAUGGGAUUAGCUAGUAGGCGGGGUAAUGGCCCACCUAGGCGACGAUCCCUAGCUGGUCUGAGAGGAUGACCAGCCACACUGGAACCGAGACACGGUCCAGACUCCUACGGGAGGCAGCAGUGGGGAAUAUUGCACAAUGGGCGCAAGCCUGAUGCAGCCAUGCCGCGUGUAUGAAGAAGGCCUUCGGGUUGUAAAGUACUUUCAGCGGGGAGGAAGGCGAUGCGGCUAAUAACCGCGUCGAUUGACGUUACCCGCAGAAGAAGCACCGGCUAACUCCGUGCCAGCAGCCGCCGUAA